CAGCCGUGAGUCAUGAGUUUCCAUGUUUAACAUUUGAUCGUCUGUCUUAUUUAAAAAAAUUAUAAAAAAUUUUAAAAAUAAAUGUAUUAUUCAUGUUUUAUCAUCUAAUAUCAAUAAAAAUACUAAUUAUAUAAAAAUUUAAAUAAGACGGACAGUAAAAUAUUGUACACAGAAUCCCACGUCUUUACUUAAA
rfam:Oryza sativa (indica cultivar-group) chromosome 3, whole genome shotgun sequence.